rnacentral:misc_RNA from 1 species
AUCGAGGGCGGCGUCGAUGCCGACGUUCGUGCAGAAGACGGCGCGAGCGAUCACGCGCCUGCAUGGAUCAGACUUCGUUGACCUCCUGCUGUUCAUCCACCGCGUAAGGGGUGCGCCCCAUGGUUGAAGCCAGGGAGCCCUUCCUACCCGCCCGGAUGGAACACCGCGGUCUCAACGCCGUUGUUCCUGCAUGUCAGACGCAACCGACUAUCUCAUGGCUCAUGCCAGAAAGACGAUCCUGGAGGCCAGGCGCUUGCCGCCCGGUCCGCCAAAGUUCUGGCUGCGCCACAUCGGCAGCGUCUAUCACCUGCUCGCCAAGCACGGCGCGUACACGAACAUCGAAUUUCUGGAAGAUUACC